rnacentral:rRNA from 1 species
UACGCAGGUGGCAAGCGUUGUCCGGAUUUACUGGGCGUAAAGAGCGCGCAGGCGGUCGGAUAAGUCGAAUGUGAAAGCCCCCGGCUCAACUGGGGAGGGUCAUUCGAUACUGUUCGACUCGAAGGCAGGAGAGGGAAGUGGAAUUCCCGGUGUAGUGGUGAAAUGCGUAGAUAUCGGGAGGAACACCAGUGGCGAAGGCGACUUCCUGGCCUGUUCUUGACGCUGAGGCGCGAAAGCUAGGGGAGCAAACGGG